rnacentral:ribozyme from 1 species
CAAGUCAGGGAGCUAAGAUUCUUUGCAGCCGGAUUUAAACAAUAAAAUGCACAAGGGCUCUUUUCUCUUCCACGUAUUACUUUUAUUUUAUUCCGACCAAUGGGAAAGCCGGAAAGAAAUUCAAAUUUAAAAAUUUGUCCCUAUUUUCUGAUUCCCUCAGGAAUAAAAUAAUACGUUAACGAACAUA